rnacentral:rRNA from 1 species
GCUCACCAAGGCGACGACGGGUAGCCGGCCUGAGAGGGCGACCGGCCACACUGGGACUGAGACACGGCCCAGACUCCUACGGGAGGCAGCAGUGGGGAAUAUUGCACAAUGGGCGAAAGCCUGAUGCAGCGACGCCGCGUGAGGGAUGACGGCCUUCGGGUUGUAAACCUCUUUCAGCAGGGAAGAAGCGAGAGUGACGGUACCUGCAGAAGAAGCGCCGGCUAACUACGUGCCAGCAGCCGCGGUAAUACGUAGGGCGCAAGCGUUGUCCGGAAUUAUUGGGCGUAAAGAGCUCGUAGGCGGCUUGUCACGUCGGUUGUGAAAGCCCGGGGCUUAACCCCGGGUCUGCAGUCGAUACGGGCAGGCUAGAGUUCGGUAGGGGAGAUCGGAAUUCCUGGUGUAGCGGUGAAAUGCGCAGAUAUCAGGAGGAACACCGGUGGCGAAGGCGGAUCUCUGGGCCGAUACUGACGCUGAGGAGCGAAAGCGUGGGGAGCGAACAGGAUUAGAUACCCUGGUAGUCCACGCCGUAAACGGUGGGCACUAGGUGUGGGCAACAUUCCACGUUGUCCGUGCCGCAGCUAACGCAUUAAGUGCCCCGCCUGGGGAGUACGG